CAGGGAGGGGGGAUGUUCCUCAGCCCGGAUUGCAAGAGGGUGCAGGCCAAGCCGAGGGACCCCAUCAGUGCACA
rfam:Myotis lucifugus cont2.17413, whole genome shotgun sequence.